rnacentral:rRNA from 1 species
AACGAACGCUGGCGGCAGGCCUCAAACAUGCAAGUCGAGCGCCCAGCAAUGGGAGCGGCGGACGGGUGAGUAUCGCGUGGGAAUGUACCUAGUGGUUCGGAACAACUCAUGGAAACGUGAGCUAAGACCGGAUGAGCCCGCAAGGGGAAAGAUUCAUCGCCAUUAGAUCAGCCCGCGUCUGAUUAGCUAGUUGGUAGGGUAACGGCCUCACCAAGGCGACGAUCAGUAGCUGUUCUGAGAGGAAGAUCAGCCACACUGGGACUGAGACACGGCCCAGACUCCUACGGGAGGCAGCAGUUGGGAAUCUUGGACAAUGGGCGCAAGCCUGAUCCAGCCAUGCCGCGUGAGUGAUGAAGGCCUUAGGGUUGUAAAGCUCUUUUACCCGGGAAGAUAAUGACGGUAGUCGGAGAAGAAGCCCCGGCUAACUUCGUGCCAGCAGCCGCGGUAACAC